GUCCCAGUUAUUUACGGCUGCUGACAAACCACACCACACCUUAAUGGCCUCCAAGGAUCGUUUCCAGUGCUGUGCGCUGACCGGGCUUGGGUUGCUGGUCUGGCACAUGCGCACCACUCACCCGGGGCAUCAGUCAGGGGCGGGUCUCAGCCGGGACACCUGUGACGCUGGCCCGUCUCUCCACGUGAGCUUUCAUCCUGGAGUUCUUCUUGCCAUGUGGGUCACAGGACUUCAGAGAGGAGGAGGCUGGAAACUGCAUGACCUCUUAAGGCCUAGACUCAAAGUGGCACAAGCUGCAUUCUCUUGCUCAAAGCAACAGAGAAGGUGAGAACACAGAGACUCAAAGAAGUCAGCCAACUUUCCCAAGGCCUGAGUGCCCUAAGUGACUGAUCAAAGAUUGGAGACAAGCCGAGCUCCUUGCUACCUGGCCAAGGAGAAAUCAUGGAGCAGACUGGUUUUCAUACUGUGGGUUGUAAACAAUUUAUGGGUCAUGAAGAGUAUUCAGAGGUUA
ensembl:lncRNA